GAUGAACGCUGGCGGCGUGCUUAACACAUGCAAGUCGAACGGUGAAGGCGGAGCUUGCUCUGCUGGAUCAGUGGCGAACGGGUGAGUAACACGUGAGCAAUCUGCCCCUGACUCUGGGAUAAGCGCUGGAAACGGCGUCUAAUACUGGAUACGAGCUGCGAAGGCAUCUUCAGCAGCUGGAAAGAAUUUCGGUCAGGGAUGAGCUCGCGGCCUAUCAGCUUGUUGGUGAGGUAAUGGCUCACCAAGGCGUCGACGGGUAGCCGGCCUGAGAGGGUGACCGGCCACGAUGGAAAGGAGACACGGCCCAGAUUCGAACGGGAGGAAGCAGAGGGGAAUAUAGAAAAAUGGGCGAAAGGACGAUGCACCAACGCCAAGAAAGGACGGAUGGCAUGAGGGUAGGAAGCCUAUUAUGCCGGGGAAGAAGGUAAAGGAAGGGUACAGACAUAAAAAACACCGGGGAAAUAGGU
rnacentral:rRNA from 1 species